UGAAAGAGAGGGGCAAAAAUCACCAAGUUACCUUUCAUCUAGGAAGAUAAGGGGAGCCAGCAUCCUGUACUUCUGUGGAAGAUCCUGACUGAGAGACAUUCAGCCAUGCUGGAGAAAGCGUGAUCGAAUGUUUGUCCAAGUCAAAAUGCUAUACCAGCAGAAUUUGCACUGUUUCCCAGAACCUAGCUGGCAGUGGUGGUGUUGUCUGUAGCAUGUGUUGGUCCCAGGAGAUGAGCCCAGGUACCCUCAGAGAGAGAAGAGAUCUGGAUAGUCGGUGACAAGCUCACACUAACACAAUACCUCACCCAGACAGUAAGGUCUACUUUCAGCAAUAAGGAAGGGGGCCAGAACAGGGGGAAGUGACUCUGCCAACCUUCAGGAAUCUGCACAGACCUUCCUUGACUUCUGGAUGGAGUUCCUGGAGCAUCCUGCUGUAGACUGUGUGAAC